rnacentral:rRNA from 1 species
UACGUAGGGCGCGAGCGUUAAUCGGAAUUACUGGGCGUAAAGCGUGCGCAGGCGGUGAUGUAAGACAGGUGUGAAAUCCCCGGGCUUAACCUGGGAACUGCAUUUGUGACUGCAUCGCUGGAGUGCGGCAGAGGGGGAUGGAAUUCCGCGUGUAGCAGUGAAAUGCGUAGAUAUGCGGAGGAACACCGAUGGCGAAGGCAAUCCCCUGGGCCUGCACUGACGCUCAUGCACGAAAGCGUGGGGAGCAAACAGG